rnacentral:misc_RNA from 1 species
GAUGAAGAACGUAGCAAAAUGCGAUACUUGGUGUGAAUUGCAGAAUCCCGUGAACCAUCGAGUCUUUGAACGCAAGUUGCGCCUCAAGCCAUUAGGUUGAGGGCACGUCUGCCUGGGCGUCACAUAUCGUUGCCUGAUGCCAGUUUCCUCGUGAUGGGUGACUGUGCAGGGCGAAUGAUGGCUUCCCGUGAGCAUUGUUGCCUCAUGGUUGGUUGAAAAUUGAGUUCUUGGUAGGGAGCGCCGUGAUAGAUGGUGGUUGAGUGACGAACGAGACCCAAUCAUGUGAGACCCCUACCGAAUUUGGCCUUCAUGACCCACAUGCGUCUUUGGAACGCUCAUGACGAGACCUCAGGUCAGGCGGGGCUACCCGCUGAGUUUAAGCAUAUCAAUAAGCGGAGGA